rnacentral:lncRNA from 1 species
UUUGAAAUACUUGCACACAAACCGCGAGAAAGCGUUCCUGGAAAUCUCAGCCCAAAAAAGGAUGUUUAGUAAUUCUAAAAGGGACUACAGGAUGAAAAACAAUAGUUUUGGCAGUUAAAGUUUGAGAUUUGACGGUGUCGUAGAUCCGUUUGGUCAUCAGGUGUUACGAGCCACACCCAUGUCUAGCUAGAAUAGUGUGUUAGGCUCAGGCUAGAGAAGAAACGGGGAACAAACUGAUGAAAGAAUGAUCAAACCGAGGGGAUUCACUCAGAACUAACAAGAAUGAUAACGUGCUCCGACUAGAGCGGUUUAGGAACUUCUGGAAGGCUCUAGGGGAAUAAAGAUGGAAUGACUUCUAAUUUUUAGGUCCGUAUGAUUUGAAAUACUUUCACACAAACCGCGCGAAAGCGUUCCUGGAAAUCUCAGCCCCAAAAAGGACGUUUAGUAAUUCUAGAAGGGACUAUAGGAUGAAAAACAAUAGUUUUGGUAGUUAAAGUUUGAGAUUCGAUGGUGCCGUGGAUCCGUUUGGUCAUCAGGUGUUACGAGCCACACCCAUGUCUAGCUAGAAUAGUAUGUUAGGCUCAGGUUAGAGAAGAAACGGGGAACAAACUGAUGAAAAAAUGAUCAUACCAAGGGAAUUCACUCAGAACUAACAAGAAUGAUAACGUGCUCCGACUGGAGCGGUUUAGGAACUGCUGGAAGGCUCUAGGGGAAUAAAGAUGGAAUGACUUCUAAUUUUUACGUCCGUAUGAUUUGAAAUACUUGCACACAAACCACGCAAAAGCGUUCCUGGAAAUCUCAGCCUAAAAAAGGACGUUUAGUAAUUCUAAAAGGGACUACAGGAUGAAAAAUAAUAGUUUGGGCAGUUAAAAUUUGAGAUUCAACGGUGCCGUAGAUCCGUUUGGUCAUGAGGUGUUACGAGCCACACCCAUGUCUAGCUAGAAUAGUGUGUUAGGCUCAGGCUAGAGAAGAAACGGGGAACAAAUUGAUGAAAGAAUGAUCAUACCGAGGGAAUUCACUCAGAACUAACAAGAAUGAUAACGUGCUCCGACUGGAGCAGUUUGGAAACUGUUGGUAGGCUCUAGGGGAAUAAAGAUGGAAUCACUUCAAAUUUUUAGGUCCGUAUGAUUUGAAAUACUGGCACACAAACCGCGCGAAAGUGUUCCUGGAAAUCUCAGCCCAAAAAAGGACGUUUAGUAAUUCUAAAAGGGACUACAGGAUGAAAAACAAUACUUUUGGCAGUUAAAGUUUGAGAUUCGACGGUGCCGUAGAUCUGUUUGGUCAUCAGGUGUAACGAGCCACACCCAUGUCUAGCUAGAGUAGUGUGCUAGGCUCAGACUAGAGAAGAAACGGGGAACAAAGUGAUGAAAGAAUGAUCAUACCGAGGGAAUUCACUCAGAACUAACAAGAAUGAUAACGUGCUCCGACUGGAGCGGUUUAGGAACUGCUGGAAGGCUCUAGGGAAAUAAAGAUGGAAUGACUUCUAAUUUUUAGGUCCAUAUCAUUUGAAAUACGUGCACACAAACCCCGAGAAAGCGUUCCUGGAAAUCUCGGCCGAAAAAAGGAUGUUUAAUAAUUCUAAAAGGGACUACAGGAUGAAAAACAAUAGUUUUGGCAGUUAAAGUUUGAGAUUUGACGGUGCCGUAGAUCUGUUUGGUCAUCAGGGGUUACGAGCCACACCCAUGUCUAGCUAGAAUAGUGUGUUAGGCUCAGGCUAGAGAAGAAACGGGGAACAAAUUGAUGAAAGAAUGAUCAUACCGAGGGAAUUCACUCAGAACUAACAAGAAUGAUAACGUGCUCCGACUGGAGCAGUUUGGAAACUGUUGGUAGGCUCUAGGGGAAUAAAGAUGGAAUCACUUCUAAUUUUUAGGUCCGUAUGAUUUGAAAUACAUGCACACAAACCCCAAGAAAGCGUUCCUGGAAAUCUCGCCCCGAAAAACGACGUUUAGUAAUUCUAAAAGGGACUACAGGAUGAAAAACAAUACUUUUGGCAGUUAAAGUUUGAGAUUCGACGGUGCCGUAGAUCUGUUUGGUCAUCAGGUGUAACGAGCCACACCCAUGUCUAGCUAGAGUAGUGUGCUAGGCUCAGACUAGAGAAGAAACGGGGAACAAAGUGAUGAAAGAAUGAUCAUACCGAGGGAAUUCACUCAGAACUAACAAGAAUGAUAACAUGCUCCGACUGGAGCGGUUUAGGAAGUGCUGGAAGGCUCUAGGGAAAUAAAGAUGGAAUGACUUCUAAUUUUUAGGUCCAUAUCAUUUGAAAUACGUGCACACAAACCCCGAGAAAGCGUUCCUGGAAAUCUCGGCCGAAAAAAGGAUGUUUAAUAAUUCUAAAAGGGACUACAGGAUGAAAAACAAUAGUUUUGGCAGUUAAAGUUUGUGAUUCGAUGGUGCCGUAGAUCUGUUUGGUCAUCAGGUGUUACGAGCCACACCCAUGUCUAGCUAGAACAGUGUGUUAGGCUCAGGCUAGAGCAGAAACGGGGAACAAACUUAUGAAAGAAUGAUCAUACCGAGGGAAUUCACUCAGAACUAACAAGAAUGAUAACGUGCUCCAACUGGAGCGGUUUAGGAACUGCUGGAAGGCUCUAGGGGAAUAAAGAUGGAAUGACUUCAAAUUUUUAGGUCCGUAUGAUUUGAAAUACUUGCACACAAACCGCUAGAAAGCGUUCCUGGAAAUCUCAGCCCAAAAAAGGACGUUUAGUAAUUCUAAAAGGGACUACAGGAUGAAAAACAAUAGUUCUGGCAGUUAAAGUUUGAGCUUCGAUAAUGUCGUAGAUCCGUUUGGUCAUCAGGUGUAACGAGCCACACCCAUUUCUAGCUAGAGUAGUGUGCUAGGCUCAGACUAGAGAAGAAAUGGGCAACAAACUAAUGAAAGAAUGAUCAUACCGAGGGAAUUCACUCAGAACUAACAAGAAUGAUAACGUGCUCCGACUGGAGCGGUUUAGGAACUGCUGGAAGGCUCUAGGGGAAUAAAGAAGGAAUGACUUCUAAUUUUUAGGUCCGUAUGAUUUGAAAUGUGUGCACACAAACCCCGAGAAAGCAUUCCUGGAAAUCUCGGCCCAAAAAAGGACGUUUAGUAAUUCUAAAAGGGACUACAGGAUGAAAAACAAUAGUUUUGGCAGUUAAAGUUUGAGAUUCGAUAAUGCCGUAGAUCCGUUUGGUCAUCAGGUGUAACGAGCCACACCCAUGUCUGGUUAGAGUAGUGUGCUAGGCUCAGACUAGAUAAGAAACGGGGAACAAACUGAUGAAAGAAUGAUCAUACCGAGCGAAUUCACUCAGAACUAACAAGAAUGAUAACAUGCUCCGACUGGAGCGGUUUAGGAACUGCUGGAAGGCUCUAGGGGAAUAAAGAUGGAAUGACUUCUAAUUUUUAGGUCCGUAUGAUUUGAAAUACUUGCACACAAACCACGCGAAAGCGUUCCUGGAAAUCUCAGCCCAAAAAAGGACGUUUAGUAAUUCUAAAAGGGACUACAGGAUGAAAAACAAUAGUUUUGGCAGUUAAAGUUUGAGAUUCGACAGUGCCGUAGAUCCGUUUGGUCAUCAGGUAUUACGAGCCACACCCAUGUCUAGCUAGAAUAGUGUGCUAGGCUCAGGCUAGAGAAGAAACGGGGAACAAACUGAUGAAAGAAUGAUCAAACCGAGGGAAUUCACUCAGAACUAACAAUAAUGAUAACGUGCUCCGACUGGUGCGGUUUAGGAACUGCUGGAAGGCUCUAGGGGAAUAAAGAUGGAAUGACUUCUAAUUUUUAGGUCCGUAUGAUUUGAAAUACUUGCACACAAACCGCGCGAAAGCGUUCCUGGAAAUCUCAGCCCAAAAAAGGACGUUUAGUAAUUUUAAAAGGGACUAUAGGAUGAAAAACAAUAGUUUUGGCAAUUAAAGUUUGAGAUUCGACGGUGUCGUAGAUCCGUUUGGUCAUCAGGUGUUACGAGCCACACCCAUGUCUAGCUAGAAUAGUAUGUCAGGCUCAGGUUAGAGUAGAAACGGGGAACAAACUGAUGAAAGAAUGAUCAUACCAAGGGAAUUCACUCAGAACUAUCAAGAAUGAUAACGUGCUCCGACUGGAGUGAUUUAGGAACUGCUGGAAGGCUCUAGGGGAAUAAAGAUGGAAUGACUUCUAAUUUUUACGUCCGUAUGAUUUGAAAUACUUGCACACAAAUCACGCAAAAGCGUUCCUGGAAAUCUCAGCCUAAAAAAGGACGUUUAGUAAUUCUAAAAGGGACUACAGGAUGAAAAACAAUAGUUUGGGCAGUUAAAAUUUGAGAUUCGACGGUGCCGUAGAUCCGUUUGGUCAUCAGGUGUUACGAGCGACACCCUUGUCUAGCUAGAAUAGUGUGUUAGGCUCAGACUAGAGAAGAAACGGGGAACAAAGUGAUGAAAGAAUGAUCAUACCGAGGGAAUUCACUCAGAACUAACAAGAAUGAUAACGUGCUCCGACUGGAGCGGUUUAGUAACUGCUGGAAGGCUCUAGGGGAAUGAAGAUGGAAUGACUUCUAAUUUUUAGGUCCGUAUGAUUUGAAAUACAUGCACACAAACCCUGAGAAAGCGUUCCUGGAAAUCUCGGUCGAAAAAAGGAUGUUUAAUAAUUCUAAAAGGGACUACCGGAUGAAAAACAAUAGUUUUGGCAGUUAAAGUUUGUGAUUCGAUGGUGCCGUAGAUCUGUUUGGUCAUCAGGUGUUACGAGCCACACCCAUGUCUAUCUAGAAUAGUGUGUUAGGCUCAGGCUAGAGCAGAAACGGGGAACAGACUUAUGAAAGAAUGAUCAUACCGAGGGAAUUCACUCAGAACUAACAAGAAUGAUAACGUGCUCCGACUGGCGCGGUUUAGGAACUGCUGGAAGGCUCUAGGGGAAUAAAGAUGGAAAGACUUCUAAUUUUUAGGUCCGUAUGAUUUGAAAUACUUGCACACAAACCGCACGAAAGCGUUCCUGGAAAUCUCAGCCUAAAAAGGAUGUUUAGUAAUUCUAAAAGGGACUACAAGAUGAAAAAUAAUAGUUUGGGCAGUUAAAAUUUGAGAUUCGACGAUGCCGUAGAUCCGUUUGGUCAUCAGGUGUUAUGAGCCACACCCAUGUCUAGCUAGAAUAGUGUGUUAGGCUCAGGCUAGAGAAGAAACGGGGAACAAACUGAUGAAAGAAUGAUCAUACCGAGGGAAUUCACUCAGAACUAACAAGAAUGAUAACGUGCUCCGACUGGAGCAGUUUAGAAACUGCUGGAAGGCUCUAAUGGAAUAAAGAUGGAAUGCCUUCAAAUUUCUAGGUCCGUAUGAUUUGAAAUACUUGCACACAAACCGCUCGAAAGCGUUCCUGGAAAUCUCAGCCCAAAAAAGGACGUUUAGUAAUUCUAAAAGGGACUACAGGAUGAAAAACAAUAGUUUUGGCAGUUAAAGUUUGAGAUUCGAUGGUGCCGUAGAUCCGUUUGGUCAUCAGGUGUAACGAGCCACACACAUGUCUAGCUAGAGUAGUGUGCUAGGCUCAGACUAGAGAAGAAACGGGGAACAAAGUGAUGAAAGAAUGAUCAUACCGAGGGAAUUCACUCAGAACUUACAAGAAUGAUAACGUGCUCCGACUGGAGCGCUUUAGUAACUGCUGGAAGGCUCUAGGCGAAUAAAGAUGGAAUGACUUCUAAUUUUUAGGUCCGUAUGAUUUGAAAUACUUGCACACAAACCACGCAAAACCGUUCCUAGAAAUCUCGGUCGAAAAAAGGACGUUUAGUAAUUCUAAAAGGGACUACAGGAUGAAAAACAAUAGUUUUGGCAGUUAAAGUUUGAGAUUCGAUGGUGCCGUAGAUCCGUUUGGUCAUCAGGUGUUACGAGCCACACCCAUGUCUAGCUAGAGUAGUGUGCUAGGUUCAGACUAGAGAAGAAACGGGGAACAAAGUGAUUAAAGAAUGAUCAUACCGAGGGAAUUCACUCAGAACUAACAAGAAUGAUAACGUGCUCCGACUGGAGCGGUUUAGGAACUGCUGGAAGGCUCUAGGGGAAUAAAGAUGGAAUGACUUCUAAUUUUUACGUCCGUAUGAUUUGAAAUACAUGCACACAAACCACGCAAAAGCGUUCCUGGAAAUCUCAGCCUAAAAAAGGACGUUUAGUAAUUCUAAAAGGGACUACAGGAUGAAAAAUAAUAGUUUGGGCAGUUAAAAUUUGAGAUUCGACGCUGCCGUAGAUCCGUUUGGUCAUCAGGUCUUACGAGCCACACCCAUGUCUAGCUAGAAUAGUGUGUUAGGCUCAGGCUAGAGAAGAAACGGGGAACAAACUGAUGAAAGAAUGAUCAUACCGAGGGAAUUCACUCAGAACUAACAAGAAUGAUAACGUGCUCCGACUGGAGCAGUUUAGAAACUCCUGGAAGGCUCUAGGGGAAUAAAGAUGGAAUGACUUCAAAGUUUUAGGUCCGUAUGAUUUGAAAUACUUGCACACAAACCGCGUGAAAGCGUUCCUGGAAAUCUCAACCCAAAAAAGGGCGUUUAGUAAUUCUAAAAGGGACUACAGGAUGUAAAACAAUAGUUUUGGCAGUUAAAGUUUGAGAUUCGAUGGUGCCGUAGAUCCGUUUGGUCAUCAGGUGUAACGAGCCACACCCAUGUCUAGCUAGAGUAGUGUGCUAGGCUCAGACUAGAGAAGAAACGGGGAACAAAGUGAUGAAAGAAUGAUCAUACCGAGGGAAUUCACUCAUAACUAACAAGAAUGAUAACGUGCUCUGACUUGAGCGGUUUAGGAACUGCUGGAAGGCUAUAGGGGAAUAAAGAUGGAAUGACUUCAAAUUUUUAGGUCCGUAUGAUCUGAAAUACUUGCACACAAACCGCGAGAAAGCGUUCCUGGAAAUCUCAACCCAAAAAAGGACGUUUAGUAAUUCUAAAAGGGACUACAGGAUGAAAAACAAUAGUUCUGGCAGUUAUUGUUUGAGAUUCGAUAAUCUCGUAGAUCCGUUUGGUCAUCAGGUGUAACGAGCCACACCCAUGUCUAGCUAGAGUAGUGUGCUAGGCUCAGACUAGAGAAGAAACGGGGAACAAACUGAUGAAAGAAUGAUCAUACCGAGGGAAUUCACUUAGAACUAACAAGAAUGAUAACGUGCUCCGACUGGAGCGGUUUAGGAACUGCUGGAAGGCUCUAGGGGAAUAAAGAAGGAACGACUUCUAAUUUUUAGGUCCGUAUGAUUUGAAAUAUGUGCACACAAACCACGAGAAAGCGUUCCUAGAAAUCUCGGCCCAAAAGAGGACGUUUAGUAUUCUAAAAGGGACUACAGAAUGAAAAACAAUAGUUUUGGCAGUUAAAGUUUGAGAUUUGACGGUGCCGUAGAUCUGUUUGGUCAUCAGGGGUUACGAGCCACACCCAUGUCUAGCUAGAAUAGUGUGUUAGGCUCAGGCUAGAAAAGAAACGGGGAACAAAGUGAUGAAAGAAUGAUCAUACCGAGGGAAUUCACUCAGAACUAACAAGAAUGAUAACAUGCUCCGACUGGAGCGGUUUAGGAACUGCUGGAAGGCUCUAGGGGAAUAAAGAUGGAAUGACUUCUAAUUUUUAGGUCCGUAUGAUUUGAAAUACUUGCACACAAACCGCGCGAAAGCGUUCCUGGAAAUCUCAGCCCAAAAAAGGACGUUUAGUAAUUCUAAAAGGGACUACAGGAUGAAAAACAAUAGUUUUGGCAGUUAAAGUAUGAGAUUCAACGGUGCCGUAGAUCCGUUUGGUCAUUAGGUGUUACGAGCCACACCCAUGUCUAGCUAGAAUAGUGUGCUAGGCUCAGGCUAGAGAAGAAACGGGGAACAAACUGAUGAAAGAAUGAUCAAACCGAGGGAAUUCACUCAGAACUAACAAUAAUGAUAACGUGCUCCGACUGGAGCGGUUUAGGAACUGCUGGAAGUCUCUAGGGGAAUAAAGAUGGAAUGACUUCUAAUUUUUACGUUCGUAUGAUUUGAAAAACUUGCCCAUAAACCGCGCGAAAGUGUUCCUGGAAAUCUCAGCCCAAAAAAGGACGUUUAGUAAUUUUAAAAGGGACUACACGAUGAAAAACAAUAGUUUUGGCAGGUAAAGUUUGAGAUUCGACAGUGCCGUAGAUCCGUUUGGUCAUCAGGUGUUACGAGCCACACCCAUGUCUAGCUAGAAUAGUAUGUUACGCUCAGGUUAGAGAAGAAACGGGGAACAAACUGAUGAAAGAUGAUCAUACCAAGGGAAUUCACUCAGAACUAACAAGAAUGAUAACGUGCUCCGACUGGAGCGGUUUAGGAACUGCUGGAAGGCUCUAGGGGAAUAAAGAUGGAAUGACUUCUAAUUUUUACGUCUGUAUGAUUUGAAAUACUUGCACACAAACAACGCAAAAGCAUUCCUGGAAAUCUCAUCCUAAAAAAGGACGUUUAGUAAUUCUAAAAGGGACUACAGGAUGAAAAAUAAUAGUUUGGGAAGUUAAAAUUUGAGAUUCGAUAGUGCCGUAGAUCCGUUUGGUCAUCAGGUGUUAGGAGCCACACCCAUGUCUAGCUAGAAUAGUGUGUUAGGCUCAGGCUAGAGAAGAAACAGGGAACAAACUGAUGAAAGAAUGAUCAUACCGAGGGAAUUCACUCAGAACUAGCAAGAAUGAUAACGUGCUCCGACUGGAGCAGUUUUGAAACUGCUGGAAGGCUCUAGGGGAAUAAUGAUGGAAUGACUUCUAAGUUUUUGGUCCGUAUGAUUUGAAAUACGUGCACACAAACCCAGAGAAAGUGUUCUUGGAAAUCUCGGCCGAAAAAAGGAUGUUUAAUAAUUCUAAAAGGGACUACAGGAUGAAAAACAAUAGUUUUGGCAGUUAAAGUUUGUGAUUCGAUGGUGCUGUAGAUCUGUUUGGUCAUCAGGUGUUAUGAGCCACACCCAUGUCUAGCUAGAACAGUGUGUUAGGCUCAGGCUAGAGCAGAAACGGGGAACAAACUUAUGAAAGAAUGAUCAUACCGAGGGAAUUCACUCAGAACUAACAAGAAUGAUAACGUGCUCCGACUGGAGAGGUUUAGGAACUGCUGGAAGGCUCUAGGGGAAUAAAGAUGGAAUGACUUCAAAUUUUUAGGUCUGUAUGAUCUGAAAUACUUGCACACAAACCGCGAGAAAGCGUUCCUGGAAAUCUCAGCCCAAAAAAGGACGUUUAGUGAUUCUAAAAGGGACUACGGGAUAAAAAACAAUAGUUUUGGCAGUUAAAGUUUGAGAUUCGAUAAUGCCGUAGAUCCGUUUGGUCAUCAGGUGUAACGAGCCACACCCAUGUCUAGCUAGAGUAGUGUGCUAGGCUCAUACUAGAGAAGAAAUGGGGAACAAACUGAUGAAAGAAUGAUCAUACCGAGGGAGUUCACUCAAAACUAACAUGAAUGAUAACGUGCUCCGACUGGAGCGGUUUAGGAACUGCUGGAAGGCUCUAGGGGAAUAAAGAUGGAAUGACUUCUAAUUUUUAGGUCCGUAUGAUUUGAAAUACAUGCACACAAACCCCAAGAAAGCGUUCCUGGAAAUCUCGCCCCGAAAAACGACGUUUAGUAAUUCUAAAAGGGACUAUAGGAUGAAAAACAAUAGUUUUGGCAGUUAAAGUUUGAGAUUUGACGGUGCCGUAGAUCUGUUUGGUCAUCAGGUGUUACGAGCCACACCCAUUUCUAGCUAGAAUAGUGUGUUAGGCUCAGGCUAGAAAAGAAACGGGGAACAAAGUGAUGAAAGAAUGAUCAUACCGAGGGAAUUCACUCAGAACUAACAAGAAUGAUAACAUGGUCCGACUGGAGCGGUUUAGGAACUGCUGGAAGGCUCUAGGGGAAUAAAGAUGGAAUGACUUCUAACUUUUAGGUCCGUAUGAUUUGAAUUACUUGCACACAAACCGCGCGAAAGCGUUCCUGGAAAUCUCAGCCCAAAAAAGGACGUUUAGUAAUUCUAAAAGGGACUACAGGAUGAAAAACAAUAGUUUUGGCAGUUAAAGUUUGAGAUUCGACGGUGCCGUAGAUCCGUUUGGUCAGCAGGUGUUACGAGCCACACCCAUGUCUAGCUAGAGUAGUGUGCUAGGUUCAGACUAGAGAAGAAAUGUUGGGGAACGUAGCAGAAAUUCAAAAUUUUCCUACGUGUCACCAAGAUCUAUCUAUGGAGAGACUAGCAACGAGGGAAGGAGAGUGCAUCUACAUACCCUUGUAGAUCGCUAAGCGGAAGCGUUCAAGUGAACGGGGUUGAUGGAGUCGUACUCGUCGUGAUUCAGCUCACCGAUGAUCCUAGUGCCGAACGGACGGCACCUCCGCGUUCAACACACGUACAGCUCGACGAUGUCUCCCACGCCUUGAUCCAGCAAGGAGAGAGGGAGAGGUUGAGGAAGACUCCAUCCAGCAGAAGCACAACGGCGUGGUGGUGAUGGAGGAGCAUGGCAAUCCUGCAGGGCUUCGCCAAGCACCUAUGGGAGAGGAGGAGGUGUCACGGGAGGGAGGGAGGCGCCAAGGGCUCAGGUAUAGAUGCCCUCCCUCCCCUCCACUAUAUAUAGGGGCAAGGGAGAGGGGGGAGGCGCAGCCUUGCCCCUUCCUCCAAGGAAGGGGUGCGGCUAAGAGGGGGGGAGGAGUCCAUCCUCCCCAAGGCACCUCGGAGGUGCCUUCCCCCUUUAGGACUCUCCCCUUUUUCCUAUAUCUUGGCGCAUGGGCCUCUAGGGGCUGGUUCCCUUGGCCCAUGUAGGCCCAGGCGCACCCCCUACAGCCCAUGUGGCCCCCCGGGGCAGGUGGCCCCACCUGGUGGGCCCCCGGGACCCUUCCGGUGGUCCCGGUACAAUACCGAUGACCCCGAAACUUGUCCCGAUGGCCGAAACAGGACUUCCUAUAUAUAAAUCUUUACCUCCGGACAAUUCCGGAACUCCUCGUGACGUCCGGGAUCUCAUCCGGGACUCCGAACAACAUUCGGUAACCACAUACAAACUUCCUUUAUAACCCUAGCGUCAUCGAACCUUAAGUGUGUAGACCCUACGGGUUCGGGAGACAUGUAGUCAUGACCGAGAUGUUCUCCGGUCAAUAACCAACAGCGGGAUCUGGAUACCCAUGUUGGCUCCCACAUGUUCCACGAUGAUCUCAUCGGAUGAACCACGAUGUCAAGGACUCAAUCAAUCCCGUAUACAAUUCCCUUUGUCUAGCGGUAUGGUACUUGCCCGAGAUUCGAUCGUCGGUAUACCGAUACCUUGUUCAAUCUCGUUACCGGCAAGUCUCUUUACUCAUUUCGUAACACAUCAUCCCGUGAUCAACCCCUUGGUCACAUUGUGCACAUUAUGAUGAUGUCCUACCGAGUGGGCCCAGAGAUACCUCUCCGUUUACACGGAGUGACAAAAUCCCAAUCUCGAUUCGUGCCAACCCAACAGACACUUUCAGAGAUACCCGUAGUGUACCUUUACAGCCACCCAGUUACGUUGUGACGUUUGGCACACCCAAAGCACUCCUACAGUAUCCGGGAGUUGCACAAUCUCAUGGUCUAAGGAAAUGAUACUUGACAUUAGAAAAGCUUUAGCAUACGAACUACAUGAUCUUGUGCUAGGCUUAGGAUUGGGUCUUGUCCAUCACAUCAUUCUCCUAAUGAUGUGAUCCCGUUAUCAACGACAUCCAAUGUCCAUGGUCAGGAAACCGUAACCAUCUAUUGAUUAACGAGCUAGUCAACUAGAGGCUUACUAGGGACAUGGUGUUGUCUAUGUAUCCACACAUGUAUCUAAGUUUCCUAUCAAUACAAUUCUAGCAUGGAUAAUAAACGAUUAUCAUGAACAAGGAAAUAUAAUAAUAAUCAAUUUAUUAUUGCCUCUAGGGCAUAUUUCCAACAGUCUCCCACUUGCACUAGAGUCAAUAAUCUAGUUCACAUCGAUAUGUGAUUAACACUCAAGGUCACAUUCCCAUGUGACUAACACCCAAGAGUUUACUAGAGUCAAUAAUCUAGUUCACAUUUACCAUGUGAUUAACACUUGAUGAGUUCUGGGUUUGAUCAUGUUAUGCUUGUGAGAGAGGUUAUAGUCAACGGGUCUGAACCUUUCAGAUCCGUGUGUGCUUUACAAAUCUCUAUGUCAUCUCCUAGAUGCAGCUACCACGUUCUAUUUGGAGCUAUUCCAAAUAACUGUUCUACUUGGAGCUAUUCUAAAUUGUUGCUCCAUUAUACGUAUCCGGUAUCUCUACUCAGAGCUAUCCGGAUAGGUGUUAAGCUUGCAUCGACGUAACCCUUUACGACGAACUCUUUUACCACCUCCAUAAUUGAGAAAAUUCCUUAGUCCACUAGUUACUAAGGAUAACUUUGACCGCUGUCCUGUGAUCCAUUCUUGGAUCACUCUUGUACCCCUUGACUGACUCAUGGUAAAGCACACUUCAGGUGCGGUACACAGCAUAGCAUACUGUAGAGCCUAUGUCUUAAGCAUAGGGGACGACCUUCGUUCCUUUCUCUCUAUUCUGCCAUGGUCGAGCUUUAAGUCUUAACUUCAUACCUUACAACUCAGGCAAGAACUCCUUCUUUGACUGAUCCAUCUUGAACACCUUCAAGAUCACGUCAAGGCAUGUGCUCACGUCAAGAUCACGUCGGUAUACCGAUACCUUGUUCAAUCUCGUUACCGGCAAGUCUCUUUACUCGUUCCGUAACACAUCAUCCCGUGAUCAACCCCUUGGUCACAUUGUGCACAUUAUGAUGAUGUCCUACCGAGUGGGCCCAGAGAUACCUCUCCGUUUACACGGAGUGACAAAAUCCCAAUCUCGAUUCGUGCCAACCCAACAGACACUUUCAGAGAUACCCGUAGUGUACCUUUAUAGCCACCCAGUUACGUUGUGACGUUUGGCACACCCAAAGCACUCCUACGGUAUCCGGGAGUUGCACAAUCUCAUGGUCUAAGGAAAUGAUACUUGACAUUAGAAAAGCUUUAGCAUACGAACUACAUGAUCUUGUGCUAGGCUUAGGAUUGGGUCUUGUCCAUCACAUCAUUCUCCUAAUGAUGUGAUCCCGUUAUCAACGACAUCCAAUGUCCAUGGUCAGGAAACCGUAACCAUCUAUUGAUUAACGAGCCAGUCAACUAGAGGCUUACUAGGGACAUGGUGUUGUCUAUGUAUCCACACAUGUAUCUGAGUUUCCUAUCAAUACAAUUCUAGCAUGGAUAAUAAACGAUUAUCAUGAACAAGGAAAUAUAAUAAUAAUCAAUUUAUUAUUGCCUCUAGGGCAUAUUUCCAACAGUCUCCCACUUGCACUAGAGUCAAUAAUCUAGUUCACAUCACCAUGUGAUUAACACUGACAGGUCACAUCACCAUGUGACCAACAUCCAAAGAGUCUUGGGUUUGAUCAUGUUGCUUGUGAGAGAGGUUAUAGUCAACGGGUCUGAACCUUUCAGAUCCGUGUGUGCUUUACAAAUCUCUAUGUCAUCUCCUAGAUGCAGCUACCACGUUCUAUUUGGAGCUAUUCCAAAUAACUGUUCUACUUGGAGCUAUUCUAAAUUGUUGCUCCAUUAUACGUAUCCGGUAUCUCUACUCAGAGCUAUCCGGAUAGGUGUUAAGCUUGCAUCGACGUAACCCUUUACGACGAACUCUUUUACCACCUCCAUAAUUGAGAAAAUUCCUUAGUCCACUAGUUACUAAGGAUAACUUUGACCGCUGUCCUGCGAUCCAUUCUUGGAUCACCCUUGUACCCCUUGACUGACUCAUGGUAAAGCACACUUCAGGUGCGGUACACAGCAUAGCAUACUGUAGAGCCUAUGUCUUAAGCAUAGGGGAUGACCUUCGUUCCUUUCUCUCUAUUCUGCCAUGGUCGAGCUUUAAGUCUUAACUUCAUACCUUACAACUCAGGCAAGAACUCCUUCUUUGACUGGUCCAUCUUGAACACCUUCAAGAUCAUGUCAAGGUAUGUGCUCAUUUGAAAGUACUAUUAAGCGUUUUGAUCUAUCCUUAUAGAUCUUGAUGCUCAAUGUUCAAGUAGCUUAAUCCAGGUUUUCCAUUGAAAACACUUUCCAAAUAACCCUAUAUGCUUUCCAGAAAUUCUACGUCAUUUCUGAUCAUUAAUAUGUCAACAACAUAUAAUCAUCAGAAAUUCUAUAGUGCUCCCACUCACUUCUUUGGAAAUACAAGUUUCUCAUAAACUUUGUAUACACCCAAAAUCUUUGAUCAUCAUCAAAGCAUACAUUCCAACUCCGAGAUGCUCACUCCAGUCCUCAGAAGGAUUGCUGGAGCUUUGCAUACUUAUUAGCAUAUUUCAGGAUAGACAAAACCUUCCAGUUGUAUCACAUACAACCUUUCCUCAAGAAUCGUCGACGAAACAAUGUUUUGACAUCCUAUCUGCAAGAUUUCAUAAAUAAUGCAGUAAUUGUUAAUAUAAUUCCAACAGACUCUUAGCAUCGCUACGAGUGAGAAAGUCUCAUUGUAGUCAACUCCUUGAACUUGUCAAAAAACAUCUUAACGACAAGUCGAGCUUUCUCAAUGGUGACACUUACCAUCAUUGUCUGUCUUCCUUUCAAAAUCCAUAUGUACCUAACAGCCUUACGACCAUCAAGUAGUUCUUCCAAAGUCUACACUUUGUUUUCAUACAUGGAUCCUCUCUCGGGUUUUAUGGCCAUGAGCCAUUUAUCGGAAUCCGGGCCCACCAUUGCUUCUCCAUAGCUCGUAGGUUCAUUGUUGUCUAGCAACAUGACUUCCAAGACAGGAUUACUGUACCACUCUGAAGUAGUACGUAUCCUUGUCACCCUACGAGGUUUGGGAGUGACUUGAUCUGAAGUUUCAUGAUCACUAUCAUAAGCUUCUACUUCAAUUGGUGUAGGUGCCACAGGAACAACUUCCUGUGCCCUGCUACACACUGGUUGAAGUGAUGGUUCAAUAACCUCAUCAAGUCUCCACCAUCCUCCCACUCAAUUCUUUCGAGAGAAACCUUUCCUCGAGAAAGGACCCAAUUCUAGAAACAAUUCAUAUUGCUUUCGGAUCUGAAUUAGGAAGUAUACCCAACUGUUUUGGGUGUCCUAUGAAGAUGUACUUUAUCCGCUUUGGUUUCGAGCUUAAUCCUGAAACUUUUUCACAUAAGUGUCGCAGCCCCAAACCUUUAAGAAACGACAACUUAGGUUUCUCUAAACCAUAAUUCAUACGGUGUCAUCUCAUCGGAAUUACGUGGUGCCCUAUUUAAAGUGAAUGUGGUUGUCUUUAAUGCCUAACCCAUAAACUAUCGUGGCAGUUCGAUAAGAGACAUCAUGGUAUGCAUCAUAUCCAAUAGGGUGCAACUAUGAUGUUCGGACACACCAUCACACUAUGGUGUUCCAGGCGGUAUUAAUUGUGAAACAAUUUCCACAAUGUCUUAAUUGUGUGCCAAAACUCGUAACUCAGAUACUCAUCUCUAUGAUCAUAUCAUAGACAUUUUAUCCUCUUGUCACAAUGAUCUUCUACUUCACUCUGAAAUUACUUGAACCAUUCAACAAUUCAGACUUGUGUUUCAUCAAGUAAAUAUUCUCAACAUCUACUCGAAUCAUCUGUGAAGUAAGAACAUAACGAUAUUCACUGCAUGCCUCAGCACUCAUUGGACUGCACACAUCAAAAUGUGUUACUUCCAACAAGUUGCUAUCUUGUUCCAUCUUACUGAAAACGAGGCUUUUCAGUCAUCUUGCCCAUGUGGUAUGAUUUGCAUGUCCCAAGUGAUUCAAAAAUCAAGUGAGUCAAAACGGUCCAUUUGCAUGGAGUUUCUUCAUGCAUAUACACCAAUAGACAUGGUUCGCAUGUCUCAAACUUUUCAAAAACGAGUGAGCCCAAAGAUCCAUCAAUAUGGAGCUUCUUCAUGCGUUUUAUACCGAUAUGACUUACGUGGUAGUGCCACAAGUAGGUGGUACUAUCAUUACUAUCUUUUGGCAUGAACAUGUGUAUCACUACGAUCGAGAUUUAAUAAACCAUUCAUUUUAGGUGUAAGACCAUUGAAGGUAUUAUUCAAAUAAACAGAGUAACCAUUAUUCUCCUUAAAUGAAUAACCGUAUUGCGAUAGACGUAAUCCAAUCAUGUCUAUGCUCAACGCAAACACCAAAUAACAAUUAUUUAGGUUUAACACCAAUCUCUUUGGUAGAGGGAGCGUGCGAUGCUUGAUCAUAUCAAGCAUGGAAAAACUUACAACACAUAUCGUCAGCUCACCUUUAGCUAGUCUCUGUUUAUUCCGUAGCCUUUUGUUUCGAGUUACUAACACUUAGCAACCGAACUGGUAUCUAAUACCCUGGUGCUACUAGGAGUACUAGCAAAGUACACAUUAACACAAUGUAUAUCCAAUAUACUUCUAUCGACCUUGCCAGCCUUCUUAUCUACCAAGUAUCUAGGGUAAUUCUGCUCUAGUAGUUGUUCCCCUUAUUACAGAAGCACUUAGUCUCGGGUUUGGGUUUUACCUUGGGUUUCUUCACUAGAGCAGCAGCUGAUUUGCCGUUUCAUGAAGUAUCCCUUCUUGCCCUUGCCCUUCUUGAAACUAGUGGUUCCACCAACCAUCAACAAUUGAUGCUCCUUCUUGAUUUCUACUUUCGCGGUGUCAAACAUCGCGAAUACCUCAAGGAUCAUCAUAUCUAUCCCUGAUAUGUUAUAGUUCAUCAUGAAGCUCUAACAGCUUGGUGGCAAUGACUUUGGAGAACCAUCACUAUCUCAUCUGGAAGAUCAACUCCCACUCGAUUCAAGCGAUUGUUGUACUCAGACAAUCUGAGCACAAGCUCAACGAUUGAGCUUUUCUCCCUUAGUUUGCAGGUUAAGAAAGUCAUCGGAGGUCUUAUACCUCUUGACAUGGGCACGAGCCUGAAAUCCCAAUUUCAGCCCUCAAAACAUCUCAUAUGUUUCGCGAUGUUUCAAAAACGUCUUUGGUGCCUCAACUCUAAACCGUUUAACUGAACUAUCACGUAGUUAUCAAAACGUGUAUGUCAGAUGUUCGCAACAACCACAGACAACGUUCGAGGUUCAGCACACUGAGCGGUGCAUUAAGGACAUAAGCCUUCUAUGAAGCAAUGAGGACAAUCCUCAGUUUACGGACCUAGUCCGCAUAAUUGCUACUAUCAACUUUCAACUAAUUUUUCUCUAGGAACAUAUCUAAACAGUAGAACUAUAGCGUGAGCUACGACAUAAUUUGCAAAAACCUUUUGACUAUGUUCAGGAUAAUUAAGUUCAUCUUAUGAACUCCCACUCAGAUAGACAUCCCUCUAGUCAUCUAAGUGAUUACAUGAUCCGAGUCAAACUAGGCCGUGUCCGAUCAUCACGUGAGACGGACUAGUCAUCAUCGGUGAACAUCUUCAUGUUGAUCGUAUCUUCUAUACGACUCAUGUUCGACCUUUCGGUCUUCGUGUUCCGAGGCCAUGUAUGUACAUGCUAGGCUCGUCAAGUUAACCCUAAGUGUUUCGCGUGUGUAAAUCUGUCUUACACCCGUUGUAUGUGAACGUUAGAAUCUAACACCCGAUCAUCACGUGGUGCUUCGAAACACGAACUGUCGCAACGGUGCACAGUUAGGGGAGAACACUUCUUGAAAUUGUUGUAAGGGAUCAUCUUAUUUACUACCGUCGUUCUAAGCAAAUAAGAUGUAUAAACAUGAUAAACAUCACAUGCAAUCAAAUAGUGACAUGAUAUGGCCAUCAUCACUUUGCUCCUUUUGAUCUCCAUCUUCGGGGCUCCAUGAUCAUCAUCGUCACCGGCAUGACACCAUGAUCUCCAUCAUCAUGAUCUCCAUCAUCGUGUCUUCAUGAAGUUGCCUCGCCAACUAUUACUUCUACUACUAUGGCUAACGGUUAGCAAUAAAGUAAAGUAAUUACAUGACGUUUAAGUUGACACGCAGGUCACAAAUGAAUAAAGACAACUCCUAUGGCUCCUGCCGGUUGUCAUACUCAUCGACAUGCAAGUCGUGAUUCCUAUUACAAGAACAUGAUCAAUCUCAUACAUCACAUAUAUCAUUCAUCACAUCCUUUUUGGCCAUAUCACAUCACAUAGCAUACCCUGCAAAAACAAGUUAGACGUCCUCUAAUUGUUGUUUGCAUGUUUUACGUGGCUGCUAUGGGUUUCUAGCAAGAACGUUUCUUACCUACGCAUGAACAACAACGUGAUAUGCCAAUUGCUAUUUACCCUUCAUAAGGACCCUUUUCAUCGAAUCCGAUCCGACUAAAGUGGGAGAGACAGACACCCGCCAGCCACCUUAUGCAACUAGUGCAUGUUUGUCGGUGGAACCGGUCUCACGUAAGCGUACGUGUAAGGUUGGUCCGGGCCGCUUCAUCCCACGAUGCCGCCGAAUCAAGAUAAGACUAGUAACGGCAAGCAUAUUGAACAAUAUCAACGCCCACAACUACUUUGUGUUCUACUCGUGCAAAGAAUCUACGCAAUAGACCUAGCUCAUGAUGCCACUGUUGGGGAACGUAGCAGAAAUUCAAAAUUUUCCUACGUGUCACCAAGAUCUAUCUAUGGAGAUACUAGCAACGAGGGAAGGAGAGUGCAUCUACAUACCCUUGUAGAUCGCUAAGCGGAAGCGUUCAAGUGAACGGGGUUGAUGGAGUCGUACUCGUCGUGAUUCAGAUCACCGAUGAUCCUAGUGCCGAACGGACGGCACCUCCGCGUUCAACACACGUACAGCUCGACGAUGUCUCCCACGCCUUGAUCCAGCAAGGAGAGAGGGAGAGGUUGAGGAAGACUCCAUCCAGCAGCAGCACAACGGCGUGGUGGUGAUGGAGGAGCGUGGCAAUCCUGCAGGGCUUCGCCAAGCACCUACGGGAGAGGAGGAGGUGUCACGGGAGGGAGGGAGGCGCCAAGGGCUCAGGUAUAGAUGCCCUCCCUCCCCUCCACUAUAUAUAGGGGCAAGGGAGAGGGGGAGGCGCAUCCUUGCCCCUUCCUCCAAGGAAGGGGUGCGGCUAAGAGGGGGGGAGGAGUCCAUCCUCCCCAAGGCACCUCGGAGGUGCCUUCCCCCUUUAGGACUCUCCCCUUUUUCCUAUAUCUUGGCGCAUGGGCCUCUAGGGGCUGGUGCCCUUGGCCCAUGUAGGCCAAGGCGCACCCCCCUACAGCCCAUGUGGCCCCCCGGGGCAGGUGGCCCCACCCGGUGGGCCCCCGGGACCCUUCCGGUGGUCCCGGUACAAUACCGAUGACCCCGAAACUUGUCCCGAUGGCCGAAACAGGACUUCCUAUAUAUAAAUCUUUACCUCCGGACCAUUCCGGAACUCCUCGUGACGUCCGGGAUCUCAUCCGGGACUCCGAACAACAUUCGGUAACCACAUACAAACUUCCUUUAUAACCCUAGCGUCAUCGAACCUUAAGUGUGUAGACCCUACGGGUUCGGGAGACAUGUAGUCAUGACCGAGAUGUUCUCCGGUCAAUAACCAACAGCGGGAUCUGGAUACCCAUGUUGGCUCGCACAUGUUCCACGAUGAUCUCAUCGGAUGAACCACGAUGUCAAGGACUCAAUCAAUCCCGUAUACAAUUCCCUUUGUCUAGCGGUAUGGUACUUGCCCGAGAUUCGAUCGUCGGUAUACCGAUACCUUGUUCAAUCUCGUUACCGGCAAGCCUCUUUACUCGUUCCGUAACACAUCAUCCCGUGAUCAACCCCUUGGUCACAUUGUGCACAUUAUGAUGAUGUCCUACCGAGUGGGCCCAGAGAUACCUCUCCGUUUACACGGAGUGACAAAAUCCCAAUCUCGAUUCGUGCCAACCCAACAGACACUUUCAGAGAUACCCGUAGUGUACCUUUAUAGCCACCCAGUUACGUUGUGACGUUUGGCACACCCAAAGCACUCCUACGGUAUCCGGGAGUUGCACAAUCUCAUGGUCUAAGGAAAUGAUACUUGACAUUAGAAAAGCUUUAGCAUACGAACUACAUGAUCUUGUGCUAGGCUUAGNNNNNNNNNNUGAUCAACCCCUUGGUCACAUUGUGCACAUUAUGAUGAUGUCCUACCGAGUGGGCCCAGAGAUACCUCUCCGUUUACACGGAGUGACAAAAUCCCAAUCUCGAUUCGUGCCAACCCAACAGACAUUUUCAGAGAUACCCGUAGUGUACCUUUAUAGCCACCCAGUUACGUUGUGACGUUUGGCACACCCAAAGCACUCCUACGGUAUCCGGGAGUUGCACAAUCUCAUGGUCUAAGGAAAUGAUACUUGACAUUAGAAAAGCUUUAGCAUACGAACUACAUGAUCUUGUGCUAGGCUUAGGAUUGGGUCUUGUCCAUCACAUCAUUCUCCUAAUGAUGUGAUCCCGUUAUCAACGACAUCCAAUGUCCAUGGUCAGGAAACCGUAACCAUCUAUUGAUUAACGAGCUAGUCAACUAGAGGCUUACUAGGGACAUGGUGUUGUCUAUGUAUCCACACAUGUAUCUGAGUUUCCUAUCAAUACAAUUCUAGCAUGGAUAAUAAACGAUUAUCAUGAACAAGGAAAUAUAAUAAUAAUCAAUUUAUUAUUGCCUCUAGGGCAUAUUUCCAACAAGAAACGGGGAACAAACUGAUGAAAGAAUGAUCAUACCGAGGGAAUUCACUCAGAACUAACAAGAAUGAUAACGUGCUUUGACUGGAGCGGUUUAAAAACUGCUGGAAGGCUCUAGGGGAAUAAAGAUGGAAUGCCUUCAAAUUUCUAGGUCCGUAUGAUUUGAAAUACUUGCACACAAACCGCGCGAAAGCGUUCCUGGAAAUCUCAGCCCAAAAAAGGACGUUUAGUAAUUCUAAAAGGGACUACAGAAUGAAAAACAAUAGUUUUGGCAGUUAAAGUUUGAGAUUCGAUGGUGCCGUAGAUCCGUUUGGUCAUCAGGUGUAACGAGCCACACCCAUGUCUAGCUAGAGUAGUGUGCUAGGCUCAGGCUAGAGAAGAAACGGGGAACAAACUGAUGAAAGAAUGAUCAUACCGAGGGAAUUCACUCAGAACUAACAAGAAUGAUAACGUGCUCCGACUGGAGCGGUUUAGGAACUGCUGGAAGGCUCUAGGGGAAGAAAGAAGGAAUGACUUCUAAUUUUUAGGUCCGUAUGAUUUGAAAUACGUGCACACAAACCGCGCGAAAGCGUUCCUGGAAAUCUCAGCCCAAAAAAGGACGUUUAGUAUUCUAAAAGGGACUACAGAAUGAAAAACAAUAGUUUUGGCAGUUAAAGUUUGAGAUUCGACGGUGCCGUAGAUCCGUUUGGUCAUCAGGUGUUACGAGCCACACCCAUGUCUAGCUAGAAUAGUGUGCNNNNNNNNNNNNNNNNNNNNNNNNNCGUAUGAUUUGAAAUACGUGCACACAAACCGCGCGAAAGCGUUCCUGGAAAUCUCAGCCCAAAAAAGGACGUUUAGUAUUCUAAAAGGGACUACAGAAUGAAAAACAAUAGUUUUGGCAGUUAAAGUUUGAGAUUCGACGGUGCUGUAGAUCCGUUUGGUCAUCAGGUGUUACGAGCCACACCCAUGUCUAGCUAGAAUAGUGUGCUAGGCUCAGGCUAGAGAAGAAAAGGGGAACAAACUAAUGAAAGAAUGAUCAAUACGAGGGAAUUCACUCAGAACUAACAAUAAUGAUAACGUGCUCCGACUGGAGCGGUUUAGGAACUGCUGGAAGGCUCUAGGCGAAUAAAGAUGGAAUGACUUCUAAUUUUUACGUCCGUAUGAUUUGAAAUACUUGCACACAAACCACGCAAAAGCGUUCCUGGAAAUCUCGGCCUAAAAAGGACGUUUAGUAAUUCUAAAAGGGACUACAGGAUGAAAAAUAAUAGUUUGGGCAGUUAAAAUUUGAGAUUCGACGGUGCCGUAGAUCCGUUUGGUCAUCAGGUGUUACGAGCCACACCCAUGUCUAGCUAGAAUAGUGUGUUAGGCUCAGGCUAGAGAAGAAACGAGGAACAAACUGAUGAAAGAAUGAUCAUACCAAGGGAAUUCACUCAGAACUAACAAGAAUGAUAACGUGCUCCGACUGGAGCAGUUUAGAAACUGCUGGAAGGCUCUAGGGGAAUAAAGAUGGAAUGACUUCUGAUUUUUAGGUCCGUAUGAUUUGAAAUACGUGCACACAAACCCCGCGAAAGCGUUCCUGGAAAUCUCAGCCCAAAAAAGGACGUUUAGUAAUUCUAAAAGGGACUACAACAUGAAAAACAAUAGUUUUGGCAGUUAAAGUUUGAGAUUUCAUGGUGCCGUAGAUCUGUUUGGUCAUCAGGUGUUACGAGCCACACCCAUGUCUAGCUAGAAUAGUGUGUUAGGCUCAGGCUAGAAAAGAAACGGGAAACAAAGUGAUGAAAGAAUGACCAUACCGAGGGAAUUCACUCAGAACUAACAAGAAUGAUAACAUGCUCCGACUUGAGCGGUUUAGGAACUGCUGGAAGGCUCUAGGGGAAUAAAGAUGGAAUGACUUCUAAUGUUUAGGUCCGUAUGAUUUGAAAUACUUGCACAUAAACCGCACAAAAGCGUUCCUGGAAAUCUCAGCCCAAAAAAGGACGUUUAGUAAUUCUAAAAGGGACUACAGGAUGAAAAACAAUAGUUUUGGCAGUUAAAGUUUGAGAUUCGACGGUGCCGUAGAUCCGUUUGGUCAUCAGGUGUUACGAGCCACACCCAUGUCUAGCUAGAAUAGUGUGUUAGGCUCAGGCUAGAGAAGAAACUUGGAACAAACUGAUGAAAGAAUGAUCAAACCAACGGAAUUCACUCAGAACUAACAAUAAUGAUAACGUGCUCCGACUGGAGCAGUUUAGGAACUGCUGGAAGGCUCUAGGGGAAUAAAGAUGGAAUGACUUCUAAUUUUUAGGUCCGUAUGAUUUGAAAUACUUGCACGCAAACCGCGCGAAAGCGUUCCUGGAAAUAUCAGCCCAAAAAAGGACGUUUAGUAAUUCUAAAAGGGACUACAGGAUGAAAACAAUAGUUUUGGCAGUUAAAGUUUGAGAUUCAACAGUGCCGUAGAUCCGUUUGGUCAUCAGGUGUUAUGAGCCAUACCCAUGUCUAGCUAGAGUAGUGUGCUAGGCUCAGGCUAGAGAAGAAACAGGGAACAAACUGAUGAAAGAAUGAUCAUACCGAGGGAAUUCACUCAGAACUAACAAGAAUGAUAACGUGCUCCGACUGGAGCGGUUUAGGAACUGCUGGAAGGCUCUAGGGGAAUAAAGAUGGAGUGACUUCUAAAUUUUUAGGUCCGUAUGAUUUAAAAUACUUGCACACAAACCGCACGAAAGCGUUCCUUGAAAUCUCAGCCCAAAAAAGGACGUUUAGUAAGUCUAAAAGGGACUAUAGGAUGAAAAACAAUAGUUUUGGCAGUUAAAGUUUGAGAUUCGAUGGUGCCGUAGAUCUGUUUGGUCAUCAGGUGUUACGAGCCACACCCAUGUCUAGUUGGAAUAGUGUGCUAGGCUCAGACUAGAGAAGAAACAGGGAACAAACUGAUGAAAGAAUGAUCAAACCGAGGAAAUUCACUCAGAACUAACAAUAAUGAUAACAUGCUCCGACUGGAGCGGUUUAGGAACUGCUGGAAGGCUCUAGGGGAAUAAAGAUGGAAUGACUUCUAAAUUUUUAGGUCCGUAUGAUUUGAAAUAGUUGCACACAAACUGCGCGAAAGCGUUCCUGGAAAUCUCAGCCCAAAAAAGGACGUUUAGUAAUUCUAAAAGGGACUAUAGGAUGAAAAACAAUAGUUUUGGCAGUUAAAGUUUGAGAUUCGACGGUGCCGUAGAUCCGUUUGGUCAUCACGUGUUACAAGCCACACCCAUGUCUAGCUAGAGUAGUGUGCUAGGCUCAGACUAUAGAAGAAACGGGGACCAAACUGAUGAAAGAAUGAUCAAACCGAGGAAAUUCACUCAGAACUAACAAUAAUGAUAACAUGCUCCGACUGGAGCGGUUUAGGAACUACUGGAAGGCUCUAGGGGAAUAAAGAUGGAAUGACUUCUAAAUUUUUAGGUCCGUAUGAUUUUAAAUAGUUGCACACAAACUGCGCGAAAGCGUUCCUGGAAAUCUCAGCCCAAAAAAGGACGUUUAGUAAUUCUAAAAGGGACUACAGGAUGAAAAACAAUAGUUUGGGCAGUUAAAAUUUGAGAUUCGACGGUGCCGUAGAUCCGUUUGGUCAUCAGGUGUUACGAGCCACACCCAUGUCUAGCUAGAGUAGUGUGCUAGGCUCAGGCUAGAGAAGAAACAGGGAACAAACUGAUGAAAGAAUGAUCAUACCGAGGGAAUUCACUCAGAACUAACAAGAAUGAUAACGUGCUCUGACUGGAGCGGUUUAAGAACUGUUGGAAGGCUCUAGGGGAAUAAAGAUGGAAUCACUUCAAAUUUUUACGUCCGUGUGAUUUGAAAUACUUGCACACAAACCGCACGAAAGCGUUCCUGGAAAUCUCAGCCCAAAAAAGGACGUUUAGUAAGUCUAAAAGGGACUACACGAUGAAAAACAAUAGUUUUGGCAGUUAAAGUUUGAGAUUCGACAGUGCCGUAGAUCCGUUUGGUCAUCAGGUGUAACGAGCCACACCCAUGUCUAGAUAGAGUAGUGUGCUAGGCUCAAACUAGAGAAGAAACGGGGAACAAACUGAUGAAAGAAUGAUCAUACCGAGGGAAUUCACUCAGAAAUAACAAGAAUGAUAACGUGCUCUGACUGGAGCGGUUUAGGAACUGCUGGAAGGCUCUAGGGGAAUAAAGAAGGAAUGACUUCUAAUUUUUAGGUCCGUAUGAUUUGAAAUACGUGCACACAAACCCCGAGAAAGCGUUCCUGGAAAUCUCGACCCAAAAAAGGACGUUUAGUAAUUCUAAAAGGGACUACGGGAUGAAAAACAAUAGUUUUGGCAGUUAAAGUUUGAGAUUCGAUAAUGCCGUAGAUCCAUUUGGUCAUCAGGUGUAACGAGCCACACCCAUGUCUAGCUAGAGUAGUGUGCUAGGCUCAGACUAGAGAAGAAACAGGGAACAAACUGAUGAAAGAAUGAUCAUAUCGAGGGAAUUCACUCAGAACUAACAAGAAUGAUAACAUGCUCCGACUUGAGCGGUUUAGGAACUGCUGGAAGGCUCUAGGGGAAUAAAGAUGGAAUGACUUCUAAUUUUUAGGUCCGUAUGAUUUGAAAUACUUACACACAAACCACGCGAAAGCGUUCCUGGAAAUCUCAGCCCAAAAAAGGACGUUUAGUAAUUCUAAAAGGGACUACAUGAUGAAAAACAAUAGUUUUCGCAGUUAAAGUUUGAGAUUCGACGGUGCCGUAGAUCCGUUUGGUCAUCAAGUGUUACGAGCCACACCCAUGUCUAGCUAGAAUAGUGUGUUAGGCUCAGCCUAGAGAAGAAACGGGGAACAAACUGAUGAAAGAAUGAUCAUACCGAGGGAAUUCACUCAGAACUUACAAGAAUGAUAACGUGCUCCGACUUGAGCGGUUUAAGAACUGUUGGAAGGCUCUAGGGGAAUAAAGAUGGAAUCACUUCAAAUUUUUACGUCCGUGUGAUUUGAAAUACUUGCACACAAACCCCGAGAAAGCGUUCCUGGAAAUCUCGGCCGAAAAAAGGAUGUUUAAUAAUUCUAAAAGGGACUACAGGAUGAAAAACAAUAGCUUUGGCAGUUAAAGUUUGUGAUUCGAUGGUGCCGUAGAUCUGUUUGGUCAUCAGGUGUUAUGAGCCACACCCAUGUCUAGCUAGAAUAGUGUGUUAGGCUCAGGCUAGAGCAGAAACUAGGAACAAACUUAUGAAAGAAUGAUCAUACCGAGGGAAUUCACUCAGAACUAACAAGAAUGAUAACGUGCUCCGACUGGAGCGGUUUAGGAACUGCUGGAAGGCUCUAGGGGAAUAAAGAUGGAAUGACUUCUAAUUUUUAGGUCCGUAUGAUUUGAAAUACAUGCACACAAACCCCAAGAAAGCGUUCCUAGAAAUCUCAGCCCAAAAAGGACGUUUAGUAAUUCUAAAAGGGACUACAGGAUGAAAAACAAUAGGUUUGGCAGUUAAAGUUUGAGAUUCGAUAAUGCCGUAGAUCCGUUUGGUCAUCAGGUGUAACGAGCCACACCCAUGUCUAGCUACAUUAGUGUGCUAGGCUCAGACUAGAGAAGAAACGGGGAACAAACUGAUGAAAGAAUGAUCAUACCGAGGGAAUUCACUCAGAACUAACAAGAACGAUAACAUGCUCCGACUGCAGCGGUUUAGGAACUGCUGGAAGGCUCUAGGGGAAUAAAGAAGGAAUGACUUCUAAUUUUUAGGUCCGUAUGAUUUGAAAUACUUGCACACAAACCGCGCGAAAGCAUUCCUGGAAAUCUCAGCCCAAAAAAGGACGUUUAGUAAUUCUAAAAGGGACUACAGGAUGAAAAACAAUAAUUUUGGCAGUUAAAGUUUGAGAUUCGACGGUGCCGUAGAUCCGUUUGGUCAUCAGGUGUUACGGGCCAUACCCAUGUCUAGCUAGAAUAGUGUGUUAGGCUCAGGUUAGAGAAGAAACGGGGAACAAAGUGAUGAAAGAAUGAUCAUACCGAGGGAAUUCACUCAGAACUAACAAGAAUGAUAACGUGCUCCGACUGGAGCGGUUUAGGAAUUGCUGGAAGGCUCUAGGGGAAUAAAGAUGGAAUGACUUCUAUAUUUUACGUCCGUAUGAUUUGAAAUACUUGCACACAAACCACGCAAAAGCACUCCUGGAAAUAUCAGCCUAAAAAGGAUGUUUAGUAAUUCUAAAAGGGACUACAGGAUGAAAAAUAAUAGUUUUGGCAGUUAAAAUUUGAGAUUCAACGGUGCCGUAAAUCCGUUUGGUCAUCAGGUGUUACGAGCCACACCCAUGUCUAGCUAGAAUAGUGUGUUAGGCUCAGGUUAGAGAAGAAACGGGGAACAAACUGAUGAAAGAAUGAUCAUACAAGGGGAAUUCACUCAGAACUAUCAAGAAUGAUAACGUGCUCCGACUGGAGCAGUUUAGGAACUGCCGGAAGGCUCUAGGGGAAUAAAGAUGGAAUGACUUCUAAUUUUUAUGUCCGUAUGAUUUGAAAUACUUGCACACAAACCACGCAAAAGCGUUCCUGGAAAUCUCAGCCUAAAAAGGACGUUUAGUAAUUCUAAAAGGGACUACAGGAUGAAAAACAAUAGUUUGGGCAGUUAAAAUUCGAGAUUCGACGGUGCCGUAGAUCCGUUUGGUCAUCAGGUGUUACGAGCCACACCCAUGUCUAGCUAGAAUAGUGUGUUAGGCUCAGGCUAGAGAAGAAACGGGGAACAAACUGAUGAAAGAAUGAUCAUAUCGAGGGAAUUCACUCAGAACUAACAAGAAUGAUAACGUGCUCCGACUGGAGCGGUUUAGUAACUGCUGGAAGGCUCUAGGGGAAUAAAGAUGGAAUGACUUCUAAUUAUUAGGUCCGUAAGAUUUGAAUUACAUGCACACAAACCCCGAGAAAGCGUUCCUGGAAAUCUCGGUCGAAAAAAGGAUGUUUAGUAAUUCUAAAAGGGACUACAGGAUGAAAAACAAUAGUUUUGGCAGUUAAAGUUUGUGAUUCGAUGGUGCCGUAGAUCUGUUUGGUCAUCAGGUGUUACGAGCCACACCCAUGUCUAGCUAGAAUAGUGUGUUAGGCUCAGGCUAGAGCAGAAACGGGGAACAAACUUAUGAAAGAAUGAUCAUGCCGAGGGAAUUCACUCAGAACUAACAAGAAUGAUAACGUGCUCCGACUGGAGCGGUUUAGGAACUGCUGGAAGGCUCUAGGGGAAUAAAGAUGGAAUGACAUCAAAUUUUUAGGUCCGUAUGAUUUGAAAUACUUGCACACAAACCGCAAGAAAGCGUUCUUGGAAAUCUCCGCCCAAAAAAGGACGUUUAGUAAUUCUAAAAGGGUCUACAGGAUGAAAAACAAUAGUUCUGGCAGUUAAAGUUUGAGAUUCGAUAAUGUCGUAGAUCCGUUUGGUCAUCAGGCGUAACGAGCCACACCCAUUUCUAGCUAGAGUAGUGUGCUAGGCUCAGACUAGAGAAGAAACGGGGAACAACCUGAUGAAAGAAUGAUCAUACCGAGGGAAUUCACUCAGAACUAACAAGAAUGAUAACGUGCUCCGACUGGAGCGGUUUAGGAACUGCUGGAAGGCUCUACGGGAAUAAAGAAGGAAUGACUUCUAAUUUUUAGGUCCGUAUGAUUUGAAAUACGUGCACACAAACCCCGAGAAAGCGUUCCUGGAAAUCUCGGCCCAAAAAAGGACGUUUAGUAUUCUAAAAGCGACUACAGAAUGAAAAACAAUAGUUUUGGUAGUUAAAGUUUGAGAUUUAACGGUGCCGUAGAUCUGUUUGGUCAUCAGGUGUUACGAGCCACACCCAUGUCUAGCUAGAAUAGUGUGUUAGGCUCAGGCUAGAUAAGAAACAGGGAACAAAGUGAUGAAAGAAUGAUCAUACCAAGGGAAUUCACUCAGAACUAACAAGAACGAUAACAUGCUCCGACUGGAGUGGUUUAGGAACUGCUGGAAGGCUCUAGGGGAAUAAAGAUGGAAUGACUUCUAAUUUUUAGGUCUGUAUGAUUUGAAAUACUUGCACACAAACCGCACGAAAGCGUUCCUGGAAAUCUCAUCCCAAAAAAGGACGUUUAGUAAUUCUAAAAGGGACUACAGGAUGAAAAACAAUAGUUUUGGCAGUUAAAGUUUGAGAUUCGAUAAUGCUGUAGAUCCGUUUGGUCAUCAGGUGUAACGAGCCACACCCAUGUCUAGCUAGAGUAGUGUGCUAGGCUCAGACUAGAGAAGAAACGGGGAACAAACUGAUGAAAGAAUGAUCAUACCGAGGGAAUUCACUCAGAACUAACAAUAAUGAUAACGUGCUCCGACUGGAGCGGUUUAGGAACUGCUGGAAGGCUCUAGGGGAAUAAAGAUGGAAUGAGUUCUAAUUUUUAGGUCUGUAUGAUUUGAAAUACUUGCACACAAACCGCGUGAAAGCAUUCCUGGAAAUUUCAGCCCAAAAAAGGACGUUUAGUAAUUUUAAAAGGGACUACACGAUGAAAAACAAUAGUUUUGGCAGUUAAAGUUUGAGAUUCGACGGUGCCGUAGAUCCGUUUGGUCAUCAGGUGUUACGAGCCACACCCAUGUCUAGCUAGAAUAGUAUGUUAGGCUCGGGUAAGAGAAGAAACGGGGAACAAACUGAUGAAAGAAUGAUCAUACCAAGGGAAUUCACUCAGAACUAACAAGAAUGAUAACGUGCUCCGACUGGAGCGGUUUAGGAACUGCUGGAAGGCUCUAGGGGAAUAAAGAUGGAAUGACUUCUAAUUUUUACGUUCGUAUGAUUUGAAAUACUUGCACACAAACCACGCAAAAGCGUUCCUGGAAAUCUCAUCCUAAAAAAGGACGUUUAGUAAUUCUAAAAGGGACUACAGGAUGAAAAAUAAUAGUUUGGGCAGUUAAAAUUUGAGAUUCGACGGUGCCGUAGAUCCGUUUGGUCAUCAGGUGUUACGAGCCACACCCAUGUCUAGCUAGAAUAGUGUGUUAGGCUCAGGCUAGAGAAGAAACGGGGAACAAACUGAUGAAAGAAUGAUCAUAUCGAGGGAAUUCACUCAGAACUAACAAGAAUGAUAACGUGCUCCGACUGGAGCAGUUUAGAAACUGCUGGAAGGCUCUAGGGGAAUAAAGAUGGAAUGACUUCUAAUUUUUAGGUCUGUAUGAUUUGAAAUACGUGCACACGAACCCCGAGAAAGCGUUCCUGGAAAUCUCGGCCCAAAAAAGGACGUUUAGUAAUUCUAAAAGGGACUACAGGAUGAAAAACAAUAGUUUUGGCAGUUAAAGUUUGAGAUUCGACGGUGCCGUAGAUCCGUUUGUUCAUCAGGUGUUACGAGCCACACCCAUGUCUAGCUAGAAUAGUGUGUUAGGCUCAGGCUAGAGAAGAAACGGGGAACAAACUGAUGAAAGAAUGAUCAUACCGAGGGAAUUCACUCAGAACUAACAAGAAUGAUAACGUGCUCCGACUGGAGCGGUUUAGGAACUGCUAGAAGGCUCUAGGGGAAUAAAGAAGGAAUGACUUCUAAUUUUUAGGUCCGUAUGAUUUGAAAUACGUGCACACAAACCCCGAGAAAGCGUUCCUGGAAAUCUUGGCCCAAAAAAGGACGUUUAGUAUUCUAAAAGCGACUACAGAAUGAAAAACAAUAGUUUUGCUAGUUAAAGUUUGAGAUUUGAUGGUGCCGUAGAUCUGUUUGGUCAUCAGGUUUUACGAGCCACACCCAUGUCUAGCUAGAAUAGUGUGUUAGGCUCAGGCUAGAAAAGAAACAGGGAAUAAAGUGAUGAAAGAAUGAUCAUACCAAGGGAAUUCACUCAGAACUAACAAGAACGAUAACAUGCUCCGACUGGAGUGGUUUAGAACUGCUGGAAGGCUAAAGGGGAAUAAAGAUGGAAUGACUUCUAAUUUUUAGGUCCGUAUGAUUUGAAAUACUUGCACACAAACCGCACGAAAGUGUUCCUGGAAAUCUCAGCCCAAAAAAGGACGUUUAGUAAUUCUAAAAGGGACUACAGGAUGAAAAACAAUAGUUUUGGCAGUUAAAGUUUGAGAUUCGAUAAUGACGUAGAUCCGUUUGGUCAUCAGGUGUAACGAGCCACACCCAUGUCUAGCUAGAGUAGUGUGCUAGGCUCAGACUAGAGAAGAAACGGGGAACAAACUGAUGAAAGAAUGAUCAUACCGAGGGAAUUCACUCAGAACUAACAAUAAUGAUAACGUGCUCCGACUAGAGCGGUUUAGGAACUGCUGGAAGGCUCUAGGGGAAUAAAGAUGGAAUGACUUCUAAUUUUUAGGUCCCUAUGAUUUGAAAUACUUGCACACAAACCGCGUGAAAGCAUUCCUGGAAAUUUCAGCCCAAAAAAGGACGUUUAGUAAUUUUAAAAGGGACUACACGAUGAAAAAGAAUAGUUUUGGCAGUUAAAGUUUGAGAUUCGACGGUGCCGUAGAUCCGUUUGGUCAUCAGGUGUUACGAGACACACCCAUGUCUAGCUAGAAUAGUAUGUUAGGCUCGGGUUAGAGAAGAAACGGGGAACAAACUGAUGAAAGAAUGAUCAUACCAAGGGAAUUCACUCAGAACUAACAAGAAUGAUAACGUGCUCCGACUGGAGCGGUUUAGGAACUGCUGGAAGGCUCUAGGGGAAUAAAGAUGGAAUGACUUCUAAUUUUUACGUUCGUAUGAUUUGAAAUACUUGCAAACAAACCACGCAAAAGCGUUCCUGGAAAUUUCAUCCUAAAAAAGGACGUUUAGUAAUUCUAAAAGGGACUACAGGAUGAAAAAUAAUAGUUUGGGCAGUUAAAAUUUGAGAUUCGAUGGUGCCGUAGAUCCGUUUGGUCAUCAGGUGUUACGAGCCACACCCAUGUCUAGCUAGAAUAGUGUGUUAGGCUCAGGCUAGAGAAGAAACGGGGAACAAACUGAUGAAAGAAUGAUCAUAUCGAGGGAAUUCACUCAGAACUAACAAGAAUGAUAACGUGCUCCGACUGGAGCAGUUUAGAAACUGCUGGAAGGCUCUAGGGGAAUAAAGAUGGAAUGACUUCUAAUUUUUAGGUCUGUAUGAUUUGAAAUACGUGCACACAAACCCCGAGAAAGCGUUCCUGGAAAUCUCGUCCGGAAAAAGGAUGUUUAAUAAUUCUAAAAGGGACUACAGGAUGAAAAACAAUAGUUUUGGCAGUUAAAGUUUGUGAUUCGAUGGUGCCGUAGAUCUGUUUGGUCAUCAGGUGUUACGGGCCACACCCAUGUCUAGCUAGAAUAGUGUGUUAGGCUCAGGCUAGAGCAGAAACGGGGAGCAAACUUAUGAAAGAAUGAUCAUAGCGAGGGAAUUUACUCAGAACUAACAAGAAUGAUAACGUGCUCCGACUGGAGCGGUUUAGGAACUGCUGGAAGGCUCUAGGGGAAUAAAGAUGGAAUGACUUCAAAUUUUCAGGUAUGUAUGAUCUGAAAUACUUGCACACAAACCGCGAGAAAGCGUUCCUGGAAAUCUCAACCCAAAAAAGGAUGUUUAGUAAUUCUAAAAGGGACUACAGGAUUAAAAACAAUAGUUUUGGCAGUUAAAGUUUGAGAUUCGAUAAUGUCGUAGAUCCGUUUGGUCAUCAGGUGUAACGAGCCACACCCAUGUCUAGCUAGAGUAGUGUGCUAGGCUCAUACUAGAGAAGAAACGGGGAACAAACUGAUGAAAGAAUGAUCAUACCGAGGGAAUUCACUCAGAACUAACAAGAAUGAUAACGUGCUCCGACUGGAGCGGUUUAGGAACUGCUGGAAGGCUCUAGGGGAAUAAAGAUGGAAUGACUUCUUAUUUUUAGGUCCGUAUGAUUUGAAAUACAUGCACACAAACCCCAAGAAAGCGUUCCGGGAAAUCUCGGCCCAAAGAAUGAUGUUUAGUAAUUCUAAAAGGGACUAUAGAAUGAAAAACAAUAGUUUUGGCAGUUAAAGUUUGAGAUUUGACGGUGUCGUAGAUCUGUUUGGUCAUCAGGUGUUACGAGCCACACCCAUUUCUAGCUAGAAUAGUGUGUUAGGCUCAGGCUAGAAAAGAAACGGGGAACAAAGUGAUGAAAGAAUGAUCAUACCGAGGGAAUUCACUCAGAACUAACAAGAAUGAUAACAUGCUCCGACUAGAGCGGUUUAGGAACUGCUGGAAGGCUCUAGGGGAAUAAAUAUGGAAUGACUUCUAAUUUUCAGGUCCGUAUGAUUUGAAAUACUUGCACACAAACCGCGCGAAAGCGUUCCUGGAAAUCUCAUCCCAAAGAAGGUCGUUUAGUAAUUCUAAAAGGGACUACAGGAUGAAAAACAAUAGUUUUGGCAAUUUAAGGUUUGAGAUUCGACGGUGCCGUAGAUCCGUUUGGUCAUCAGGUGUUACGAGCCACACCCAUGUCUAGCUAGAAUAGUGUGCUAGGCUCAGGCUAGAGAAGAAACAGGGAACAAACUGAUGAAAGAAUGAUCAAACCGAGGGAAUUCACUCAGAACUAACAAUAAUGAUAACGUUCUCCGUCUGGAGCGGUUUAGGAACUGCUGGAAGGCUCUAGGGGAAUAAAGAUGGAAUGACUUCUAAUUUUUAGGUCCGUAUGAUUUGAAAUACUUGCACACAAACCGCGCCAAAUCGUUCCUGGAAAUCUCAGCCCAAAAAAGGACGUUUAGUAAUUCUAAAAGGGACUACAGGAUGAAAAACAAUAGUUUUGGCAGUUAAAGUUUGAGAUUCGAUGGUGCCGUAGACCCGUUUGGUCAUCAGGUGUUACGAGCCACACCCAUGUCUAGCUAGAGUAGUGUGCUAGGUUCAGACUAGAGAAGAAACAGGGAACAAAGUGAUGAAAGAAUGAUCAUACCGAGGGAAUUCACUCAGAACUAACAAGAAUGAUAACGUGCUCCGACUGGAGCGGUUUAGGAACUGCUGGAAGGCUCUAGGGGAAUAAAGAUGGAAUGACUUCUAAUUUUUACGUCCGUAUGAUUUGAAAUACUUGCACACAAACCACGCAAAAGCGUUCCUGGAAAUCUCAGCCUAAAAAAGGACGUUUAGUAAUUCAAAAAGGGACUACAAAAUGAAAAACAAUAGUUUUGGCAGUUAAAGUUUGAGAUUCGAUGGUGCCGUAGAUCCGUUUGGUCAUCAGGUGUUACGAGCCACACCCAUGUCUAGCUAGGAUAGUGUGUUAGGCUCAGGCUAGAGAAGAAACGGGGAACAAACUGAUGAAAGAAUGAUCAUACCGAGGGAAUUCACUCAGAACUAACAAGGAUGAUAACAUGCUCCGACUAGAGCGGUUUAGGAACUGCUGGAAGGCUCUAGGGGAAUAAAGAUGGAAUGACUUCUAAUUUUUAGGUCCGUAUGAUUUGAAAUACUUGCACACAAACCGCAAGAAAGCGUUCCUGGAAAUCUCAGCCCAAAAAAGGACGUUUAGUAAUUCUAAAAGGGACUACAGGAUGAAAAACAAUAGUUCUGGCAGUUAAAGUUUGAGAUUCGAUAAUGCCGUAGAUCUGUUUGGUCAUCAGGUGUAACGAGCCACACCCAUGUCUAGCUAGAGUAGUGUGCUAGGCUCAGACUAGAGAAGAAACGGGGAACAAACUGAUGAAAGAAUGAUUAUACCGAGGGAAUUCACUCAGAACUAACGAGAAUGAUAACGUGCUCCGACUGGAGCGGUUUAGGAACUGCUGGAAGGCUCUAGGGGAAUAAAGAUGGAAUGACUUCAAAUUUUUAGGUCUGUAUGAUUUGAAAUACUUGCACACAAACCGCAAGAAAGCGUUCCUUGAAAUCUCAGCCCAAAAAAGGACGUUUAGUAAUUCUAAAAGGGACUACAGGAUGAAAAACAAUAGUUCUGGCAGUUAAAGUUUGAGAUUCGAUAAUGUCGUAGAUCCGUUUGGUCAUCAGGUGUAACGAGCCACACCCAUGUCUAGCUAGAGUAGUGUGCUAGGCUCAGAAUAGAGAAGAAACGGGGAACAAACUGAUGAAAGAAUGAUCAUACCGAGGGAAUUCACUCAGAACUAACAAGAAUGAUAACGUGCUCCGACUGGAGCGGUUUAGGAACUGCUGGAAGGCUCUAGGGGAAUAAAGAAGGAAUGACUUCUAAUUUUUAGGUCCGUAUGAUUUGAAAUACGUGCACACAAACCGCGCGAAAGCGUUCCUGGAAAUCUCAGCCAAAAAAAGGACGUUUAGUAUUCUAAAAGGGACUACAGAAUGAAAAACAAUAGUUUUGGCAGUUAAAGUUUGAGAUUCGACGGUGCUGUAGAUCCGUUUGGUCAUCAGGUGUUACGAGCCACACCCAUGUCUAGCUAGAAUAGUGUGCUAGGCUCAGGCUAGAGAAGAAAAGGGGAACAAACUAAUGAAAGAAUGAUCAAUCCGAGGGAAUUCACUCAGAACUAACAAUAAUGAUAACGUGCUCCGACUGGAGCGGUUUAGGAACUGCUGGAAGGCUCUAGGCGAAUAAAGAUGGAAUGACUUCUAAUUUUUACGUCCGUAUGAUUUGAAAUACUUGCACACAAACCACGCAAAAGCGUUCCUGGAAGUCUCGGCCUAAAAAGGACGUUUAGUAAUUCUAAAAGGGACUACAGGAUGAAAAAUAAUAGUUUGGGCAGUUAAAAUUUGAGAUUCGACGGUGCCGUAGAUCCAUUUGGUCAUCAAGUGUUACGAGCCACACCCAUGUCUAGCUAGAAUAGUGUGUUAGGCUCAGGCUAGAGAAGAAACGGGGAACAAACUGAUGAAAGAAUGAUCAUACCAAGGGAAUUCACUCAGAACUAACAAGAAUGAUAACGUGCUCCGACUGGAGCAGUUUAGAAACUGCUGGAAGGCUCUUGGGGAAUAAAGAUGGAAUGACUUCAAAUUUUUAGGUCCGUAUGAUUUGAAAUACUUGCACACAAACCACGCGAAAGCGUUCCUGGAAAUCUCAGCCCAAAAAAGGACGUUUAGUAAUUCUAAAAGGGACUACAUGAUGAAAAACAAUAGUUUUGGCAGUUAAAGUUUGAGAAUCGUCGGUGCCGUAGAUCCGUUUGGUCAUCAGCUGUAACGAGCCACACCCAUGUCUAGCUAGAGUAGUGUGCUAGGCUCAGACUAGAGAAGAAACAGGGAACAAAGUGAUGAAAGAAUGAUCAUACCGAGGGAAUUCACUUAGAACUAACAAGAAUGAUAACAUGCUCCGACUUGAGCGAUUUAGGAACUUCUGGAAGGCUCUAGGGGAAUAAAGAUGGAAUGACUCAAAUUUUUAGGCCCGUAUGAUUUGAAAUACAUGCACACAAACCGCGAGAAAGUGUUCCUGGAAAUCUUAGCCCAAAAAAGGACGUUUAGUAAUUCUAAAAGGGACUACAGGAUGAAAAACAAUAGUUUUGGUAGUUAAAGUUUCAGAUUCGAUAAUGCCCUAGAUCCGUUUGGUCAUCAGGUGUAACGAGCCACACCAAUGUCUAGCUAGAGUAGUGUGCUAGGCUCAGACUAGAUAAGAAACGGGGAAGAAACUGAUGAAAGAAUGAUCAGACCGAGGGAAUUCACUCAGAACUAACAAUAAUGAUAACGUGCUCCGAGUGGAGCGGUUUAGGAACUGCUGGAAGGCUCUAGGGGAAUAAAGAUGGAAUGACUUCUAAUUUUUAGGUCCGUAUGAUUUGAAAUACGUGCACACAAACCCCGAGAAACCGUUCCUUGAAAUCUCGGCCCAAAAAAGGACGUUUAGUAAUUCUAAAAGGGACUACAAAAUGAAAAACAAUAGUUUUGGCAGUUAAAGUUUGAGAUUCGACGGUGUCGUAGACCCGUUUGGUCUUCAGGUGUUACGAGCCACACCCAUGUCUAGCCAGAGUAGUGUGCUAGGUUCAGACUAGAGAAGAAACGGGGAACAAAGUGAUGAAAGAAUGAUCAUACCGAGGGAAUUCACUCAGAACUAACAAGAAUGAUAACGUGCUCCGACUGGAGCGGGUUAGGAACUCCUGGAAGGCUCUAGGGGAAUAAAGAUGGAAUGACUUCUAAUUUUUACGUCCGUAUGAUUUGAAAUACUUGCACACAAACCACGCAAAAGCGUUCCUGGAAAUCUCAGCCUAAAAAAGGACGUUUAGUAAUUCUAAAAGGGACUACAGGAUGAAAAAUAAUAGUUUGGUCAUCAGGUGUUACGAGCCACACCCAUGUCUAGCUAGAAUAGUGUGCUAGGCUCAGGCUAGAGAAGAAACGGGGAAUAAACUGAUGAAAGA